CGGGUGAGUAACACGUGGGUUACCUACCCCGAUGAUUGGGACAACCCGAGGAAACUCGGGCUAAUACCAAAUGUGCUCCUGGCCAUAAUGGCCUUGAGGAAAGGAAGCUUCGGCCUCCGCAUCGGGAUGGGCCCGCGGCCCAUUAGCUAGUUGGUGGGGUAACGGCCUACCAAGGCUACGAUGGGUAGCUGGUCUGAGAGGACGAUCAGCCACACUGGGACUGAGACACGGCCCAG
rnacentral:rRNA from 1 species